UAAAUCCGGUUCACUUUAACACUGAGGCGUGAUGACGAGGCACUACGGUGCUGAAGCAACAAAUGCCCUGCUUCCAGGAAAAGCCUCUAAGCAUCAGGUAACAUCAAAUCGUACCCCAAACCGACACAGGUGGUCAGGUAGAGAAUACCAAGGCGCUUGAGAGAACUCGGGUGAAGGAACUAGGCAAAAUGGUGCCGUAACUUCGGGAGAAGGCACGCUGACACGUAGGUGAAGUGAUUUACUCAUGGAGCUGAAGUCAGUCGAAGAUACCAGCUGGCUGCAACUGUUUAUUAAAAACACAGCACUGUGCAAACACGAAAGUGGACGUAUACGGUGUGACGCCUGCCCGGUGCCGGAAGGUUAAUUGAUGGGGUCAGCGCAAGCGAAGCUCCUGAUCGAAGCCCCGGUAAACGGCGGCCGUAACUAUAACGGUCCUAAGGUAGCGAAAUUCCUUGUCGGGUAAGUUCCGACCUGCACGAAUGGCGUAAUGAUGGCCAGGCUGUCUCCACCCGAGACUCAGUGAAAUUGAACUCGCUGUGAAGAUGCAGUGUACCCGCGGCAAGACGGAAAGACCCCGUGAACCUUUACUAUAGCUUGACACUGAACAUUGAGCCUUGAUGUGUAGGAUAGGUGGGAGGCUUUGAAGUGUGGACGCCAGUCUGCAUGGAGCCGACCUUGAAAUACCACCCUUUAAUGUUUGAUGUUCUAACGUGGACCCGUAAUCCGGGUUGCGGACAGUGUCUGGUGGGUAGUUUGACUGGGGCGGUCUCCUCCUAAAGAGUAACGGAGGAGCACGAAGGUUGGCUAAUCCUGGUCGGACAUCAGGAGGUUAGUGCAAUGGCAUAAGCCAGCUUGACUGCGAGCGUGACGGCGCGAGCAGGUGCGAAAGCAGGUCAUAGUGAUCCGGUGGUUCUGAAUGGAAGGGCCAUCGCUCAACGGAUAAAAGGUACUCCGGGGAUAACAGGCUGAUACCGCCCAAGAGUUCAUAUCGACGGCGGUGUUUGGCACCUCGAUGUCGGCUCAUCACAUCCUGGGGCUGAAGUAGGUCCCAAGGGUAUGGCUGUUCGCCAUUUAAAGUGGUACGCGAGCUGGGUUUAGAACGUCGUGAGACAGUUCGGUCCCUAUCUGCCGUGGGCGCUGGAGAACUGAGGGGGGCUGCUCCUAGUACGAGAGGACCGGAGUGGACGCAUCACUGGUGUUCGGGUUGUCAUGCCAAUGGCACUGCCCGGUAGCUAAAUGCGGAAGAGAUAAGUGCUGAAAGCAUCUAAGCACGAAACUUGCCCCGAGAUGAGUUCUCCCUGAGACUUAGAGUCUCCUGAAGGAACGUUGAAGACGACGACGUUGAUAGGCCGGGUGUGUAAGCGCAGCGAUGCGUUGAGCUAACCGGUACUAAUGAACCGUGAGGCUUAACCUUACAACGCCGAAG
rnacentral:rRNA from 1 species